GGAGAAAUGGCCGAGAGGUCGAAGGCACCGCCCUGCUAAGGCGGCAUACGGGGUAACCUGUAUCGAGGGUUCGAAUCCCUCUUUCUCCGCCA
rnacentral:tRNA from 1 species